UGGUCAAUGAAAACUGCACGCCUCUCACCGGUCAUGUUUGAAAAUACAUCUGUUUGAGUGGGUAUUCUGCUGCUUGGCUAUUCGUCUCCUGCCACAAGAUCUUCAAAUGCAUAGACGCUAGUCCAUUGCAGCAGUGUUACUGUUCUAGCUGACACCGCUCUGCAUUCAGCCUAUCUUCCACACCAAUGUUGGUCACUGAUGCCAUCUCGGAAACACAAAAGACUGGAUGAUGAGUUGAUGCAGUUUCUACAAGAGGCAAAAAAAGCCAGUCGGCAGCGCCAUGAAGAGACACUGACACAACUCACAUCUGCACAGCAGGGUGUGAAAGAUGGAAAAUGUUCACGAUUUAUUAAAAUAAAGACUUCUCAGUCGUUCGUAUAACAGUUGAUUAUUUCAAGUUUAAUUACGUGAAUCCACGGGAACAAG